AAAAGGGUUUUAUUAUACCUUUAAUGAGGCAUUAGCACCAAAUUAUAUAGAAUCCAAAUUCUGCUAGUUAAUAGAAAUUAACAAGCUGGGCUAAUUAUACAUUUUUGUAAAUGUUACAAACAUACAUAAAAACUCACUAACGUUCUCAGGUUGUAAUGAUCUUAGAUAAUCCAACAAAUCAUUCUUUUCCUCUCCAACAAACUGUUGCAUCUGCAAGGCAGAAUUUCUCCUCUUGAUAUCAUGCAGCUCCUAUAAGUACAAAAGCACACAGAAAAUCAUAAUCAUGGCGAUUAUGGAUCAUCGGUUCACGAAAAUUUAUAAUAAGCGUGCAUAUGAAUGUGAAAAUUUUUUAGAGAAAAUUUUAAUUAAAAAUUAUUAUUUUUAGAUGCUUCUUAAGCCCCCAAAAAAAUAAUUUUUAAAAAAAUAUUUUUUUGCAUGAUCAAAGUAAUUAUCAUGGAGGGUGAAUCUACGAGUUGUCGUCGUUUGAAUUUUGAAGGAAAUGAAGAUAGUUGGGAAGGUGACUUUGAUGUUAUUAAUGAAGGUAAAUAAGAUUCAUAUUGGGAAUGUAUUGAGCUUUAAUAUAUCGAAUCUCCCUUUUUAGACAAUUUUAUUUGUUUUUGUGUUGUUAUAGGCUUGAACAUUGAAAUAGAUUUGGAUAUACCACAAAUGGGGUUAGAAUUUGAAACAGAAGAAGAUGCAUAUCAAUUUUAUUUGACAUAUGCUAAAAAAGUUGGAUUUGGCAUAAGGAGAGGUAAAAUCCACAUUGAUAAAUCGGGUAAAUUACUUGAUAGGGUUUUUUAUUGUUGUGCCCAAGGUAAAAGAGGAAAAGACAAACGAGAUCUUUAUGUCAAAGUAAGUCGUGAUGAAACAAGGUUUGGUUGUGAGGCUAAAAUGAAGAUUGGUAUUCGGAAAAAAACCAAGUUUAUUGUGGUGCAAUUUGUUAAAGAGCAUAAUCAUUAUCUCUCAAGUCCAAACAAAACGCACCUCUAUAGAAGUCAUAGGAAUAUAUCUUCUUCUGCAGCAAUACAGAUUCAGAUGGCAAGUGAUGUGGGAAUCCCUCCAAAAGCAUCUCAUGAUCUUAUGGUGAGGCAAGUAGGUGGGAGGGAGAAUUUAGGAUUUAUUCCUGAGGAUUACAAAAAUUACUUGCGAUCCAAAAGAACAAUAAAUAUGAGAGUUGGGGAUACAGGGGUGUAUUGGAGUAUUUGCAGAAAAUGCAGUUCGAAGAUCCUAAUUUUUUUAUGCUAUUCAAGUUGAUGAAGAUGAUUUGAUUACUAAUAUUUUUUGGUCUGAUGCCAAGAUGAGAGCUGAUUAUGUUAAUUUUGGAGAUGUUGUUUGCUUUAACACAACCUACAGAAAGAACAAUGAAGGUCGGCCAAUUGCGUUGUUUGUAGGUGUUAAUCAUCAUAAACAAUCUAUACUUUUUGGUGCAGCUUUAUUAUAUGAUGAAACCAGUUUAACUUUUGAGUGGUUGUUUGAUACAUUAACUAGAGCUAUGGGUGAGAAAAAACCAACUACCAUUCUUACAUAUCAAGAUGCAGCAAUGGCAAAAGCGUUAGCUUCCAAAUGGCCUGAAACACAUCAUCGUUUAUGCAUUUGGCACAUUUAUCAAAAUGCGACCAUACAUUUGAGUAGAGUUUUUUCUCAGUUUAGAGACUUUGCUAAAGAUUUUGCCUCAUGUAUAUACGAUUUUGAUGAAGAGGAAGAUUUUAUUUCAGCAUGGAACAAGAUGUUAGCAAAGUAUGUACUUGAAGAUAAUGAUUGGUUGAGGCGCAUGUACAACAUCAAGAAAAAAUGAGCUUUGGUAUAUGGACGACAAAUGUUUUGUGCGGACACUACAAGAAAAUUGGGAUUUAACAACACUUAAAAGACAACGUUUUUUUAAAAAAACGUUGUCUUUUUUUAUUUUACAACGCUUUUAACUAAAAGCGUUGUCUAUGUUUUAUAAUUCUUAUUAAAGACAACGUUUUUUCAUUUAACCGUUGUUUAUUGGUAUUUUUAUUGGGUUGAAGACAAUACUUUUCAAGAAAACGUUGUCUAUGAUAAUAUUUUUAGUAUAUGUUACAACGAUUCCCCUCCCUCAAAAUUACACGAAAACCUAGCCUCCAUAGCUAUCUCCACCAAAAGUCCAUGAAAAACGCAUCUUCGCCAAAACCCUCCUCCGCGCCGCCCUCAUUAACCUCCUCUGCCACUCCUUCGGAAGGAGCUCGAACGUUGCUCAGGAGAGCGACUCAGGCACAGCUUCAAGGAAUUCAUAUCCAUUUGGAGCGAUCGCGAAGAGGACGGUGGGAAUGGGAUGAAGCUUGAAGCAGAUUGCAAGGAUAAGACACACUAGAUGAGCUCCACCCAACUCUGGAGCCCUAAUUCUACCGCCAACAACAAGGUCGACGAUGAUGGCAAAAGCAUUGCGGAUUAGAAAUGAAAAACCUGAUCUCAUGGAGGAGAAGGAGAUCGAUUGCUCGAAGUCAAAAAGCUACCAUUUUGCGGCCGGAUUCGUUCUGUUUAAGAGCUCAAAGCAGGUGUCGAAGCCCUCAAUGACACCAUGUUCUCUUCUAUCGCUCCCACCGUUAAGGUGUUGCCUUCCCCAUCUCUUCGACGGCCGACGAACACUCUGACAGUGGCUUUGGCGCCAAGCACUCCGACAGUGCCAAACCAGCAUCUGACGACGCACACCUUAGCUUGCAAUUGCAGCAUCCUCCGAGGAAGACGAGGCGGUGUUGGGCGUCAAAACUGCAUCGCCGCAUGAAGAUCACAUAAUCAAGGAGUAUAAAUAAUGGUUGUCUAGAUUCAUUUACCUGACCAAGAUGGAGCUUGGGAAUUUCUUGUCAGAACCACAUUCUGUUUGACAUACUUGAGGGAUUUUGAUCCGACUAGAUAAUUGUGAAGACCCUUUAUGACCUAAUAGGGAUGACAAACUGAGUUCAUUUCAUUAGGGGAUGAUCAAUCUUAUUGAAGUUGGUGCUUUUGGCUUAUCUCUGAUUCCAUUUUAUUGCUGAGAAUGUAUCAUUAGAGGAUCGCUUUAUCCAUCUCAAUAUAUCUUUGUAUUUUAUGGUUCAUUCUUUUGCAGUAGACUUUGCACAUGCACCAUGAAAAAGUUGAUGAUCUAGAGGCUUCCUUGAUUGGGUACGAGGCAAAAGAAACUAGUGGUGAAACUGAAGAAACUAUGGUACGUGGAAGCUAAGCAAAGCUUGAUUAGGAAUUGGCAGAUUUCUACAAUCACUGUUUAUUGUGUCUUUGCUCUUCAAGACAUGGCAUACUCUGAGAUUUUCUUUUUAUGGGCCGUGAGCAACAAAAGAUUUGGUGGUUUGAACUUUUCAUCUAAAGACGUUGGUUGAAGUGCUUGCACUCUCAGAUAUUUUGAAGGUGAAUGGAGGUAUUUAGGAACUCCAGCUAAAUAGUUCGGGUAUGGAUGAUUACAGGAGCAGCAACUACAUGCUAUGUGGUACUGCAUCAGAACCUCAGGAGUGUGACUGAGAAGUGCUUCGAUGAAGAACUAUCAAGAAGAUUUUAGGAUUUAAGCGAGAACAUGGUUAAAGCCAAUAAGUAAAGAACAUUCAAAUCAAGAGGAUAAGUAACAUCUAUCAAAAUCCUUUAAGUUCAUGUAAUAAGAUGUAGUCGAUAGGAGUAGCUUUGAAUGUCUCCUAAUUAAAAUUUCUUUGUAUGCGAGUAAUUAUGUUUGUUAUAGAAGUGUAAGGAUAAUAAUUUGUAUAUUUAUCUUGGUUGUUUAUUUAAUAAUAUGUUGUUGAUUGAAGUA